UUGUGAUAACGGGAUAAACGAGCCCCGUUUUCUCGAGAUAACGGGAUAAAUGAUCUCGUUAUCUUGAGAAAACAAAGCUUGUUUUCUCGAGAUAACGAGAUCAUUUUCUGGUCUAAAAUUCAUUUUUGUGGUCACAUGACUAGACUAUUAUCAGCCAGAUGAAGACGUGCUACCUGCUUCUCUGCCGUAGCCUACAUGAUUGAGGGUAGCCUACAGGUGUCUGCCCGUCCCCAGCCUGCGUCUCUCCCGGUCGGAGAAGGAGGAGUCGGAGUCAGGCCGCAAUAACCCUACGACUUAUACGAGGGAUCUACAGACUCAAUCAGUGUCUACUGGCUCACCUGUGACACCAGAGGCUCUGAACACCCUGUGGCUGGGACCAAGUAUCCUGUUAAGCUGCACAAACAUGGACAACCCAUUCAUUGCUGCCUUGAAGGACAGAGGAGUUCCUGAUGAAAACCUUAAAAAAAUGUUGCAUGACAAGGU